AGUGAACGCUGGCGGUAGGCCUAACACAUGCAAGUCGAACGGCAGCACAGUAAGAGCUUGCUCUUACGGGUGGCGAGUGGCGGACGGGUGGGGAAUACAUCGGAAUCUACUUUUUCGUGGGGGAUAACGUAGGGAAACUUACGCUAAUACCGCAUACGACCUACGGGUGAAAGCAGGGGAUCUUCGGACCUUGCGCGAUUGAAUGAGCCGAUGUCGGAUUAGCUAGUUGGCGGGGUAAAGGCCCACCAAGGCGACGAUCCGUAGCUGGUCUGAGAGGAUGAUCGGCCACACUGGAACUGAGACACGGUCCAGACUCCUACGGGAGGCAGCAGUGGGGAAUAUUGGGCAAUGGGCGAAAGCCUGAUCCAGCAAUACCGCGUGAGUGAAGAAGGCCUUCGGAUUGUAAAGCCCUUUUGUUGGGAAAGAAAAGCAGCAUAUUAAUACCCCGCUAUUCUGACGGUACCCAAAGAAUAAGCACCGGCUAACUUCGUG
rnacentral:rRNA from 1 species